CCUGUUUCCUCCCUGGGGUGGCACUGCCAACUAGAACCCAAACAUCCAUUGAGAGAGCAGGAUGCUGAAGAUUAUUAGUCCCAAGUAGCCUUGUAGCUCUUCCUUGAUGCCCAAUCUCUGCCAGUGCUCAGAGAUGCCCUGCAUUGAAGCAGUUCAUACACACAUCUUUCAAGGCUCUCCCCUGGAGACUGACACUGAGCCAAGGCCUGACCUGAGCUGUUUUUAUUGGAGUCAUGGGUAGAUUGCUGCAAAAAGAAAAGAGCCUGAAAUCUAGAGUUUGGCUGUUUUUGCAGCUGAGUGCUGCCUCCCGAAGCAGAAUUAAUCCCACAGACAGACUCCCAAAAUGGGGUCCCUGUUGGCCAGAUUUAAAACCCCCAGGGCCUGUUCUUUUGUCUCCCUACUCUAUCACUAGGGCUUCACUGUGCUUAUCAGGACUGGACACCAUAUUCCUUCUAUCUCACUGUCUGGGAGUUGGCCUCAUGAACUGAACAAGCAGAUGAUCUUGUACUUGGCCUUAGUCCUUCACUGGUCUGAGUCCACUGUCUACUGGUCCCAUUGCUACAGAAAGUGGAAACAGCGUAACAGCGGUGCGGAAUGUGGCCGAGCAGAGAUGUUCGCUCCAAGAUGUCUGGGAAGAGACCAAGAUGCAAGACUGUCAGCUACCUCUCCAGCACCAUGUCUGCUUGUGUGCCACUAUACGUCCCACCAUGAUGACAAUGGACUAAGCUCUGAACUGUAAAACAGCACCAAUUAAAUGUUUUCCUUUAUAAUAGUGCCAUGGUCAUGGUGUCUCUUCACAACAAUAGAAAAUCUAAGUAAGACCGAUGUUCAUUUAUUAUAACCGAAAUGUUCCCCUUGAUAUUGAUGGUAACAACAUCAUACUAGCUAGAAAGGGGUACAUGGAGGAGUUUGAGAUGGGUUUUUAGUUGAGUGUUUUUUUCUUUUCCUGGGUUAGCAAUCUAGGAAAUCACUGUUUCAUCCAUUGUACAAAGGCUAAUUACUCCAAAGUCAUCGUUUACCUGUUCACUCAUGUAUCCUCGAUCUCUCUAUCCAAAAUAUUAGUGAUUCUUUGUCAUUGGGCAUUCUACUAAGUCCCAGGGAUAUGAGAGGGAAAGAUCUUAUCUGAGUCUUCAAGAAGUAGACAGUUACAGAAUGCAAUGCUUUCCUACAGUAAGUCUGCUCAGAUUCAUAUGGGAACUGGGAGAAUAUGUGUUGAAAGCUGAUAGGAAUCAAAGAUGGACACACAGCCAUUCUGACACCUGUGAUUUCUUGGAGCAAAGGAGUAUCAGUCCUUCCUUUCUGUCCUUUCUUUUUAAGAUUAUU
rnacentral:lncRNA from 1 species